ACGCUCGACACCUACGGGAGACAGCAGUGGGGAAUAUUGCACAAUGGGGGAAACCCUGAUGCAGCGACGCCGCGUGAGCGAAGAAGUAUUUCGGUAUGUAAAGCUCUAUCAGCAGGGAAGAAAAUGACGGUACCUGACUAAGAAGCCCCGGCUAACUACGUGUCAGCAGCCGCGGUAAUCUGAGCGGGCUGGCAAGGC
rnacentral:rRNA from 1 species